GUCGGCAGCGGGAGGGGAGCGCCCCGGGAGCCGCCCCGGCCCCGCGGUGCCCGGCGGGGGCGGCACCCCCUGCCCCGAGCCCGGCCCGGGCCGCUCCCCCCGAGCUUCCCCCGAGCUCCCCCGAGCUUCCCCCGAGCUCCCCCCGAGCUUCCCCCGAAUUUCCCCCGAGCUUCUCCCGAGCUCCCCCCGAGCUCCCCCCGAGCUUCCCCCGAGCUCCCCCCGAGCUUCCCNNNNNNNNNNGCUCCCCCCGAGCUUCCCCCGAGCUCCCCCCGAGCUUCCCCCGAGCUUCCCCCGAAUUUCCCCCGAGCUUCUCCCGAGCUUCCCCCGAGUUUCCUCGAGCUCCCCCCGAACUUCCCCCGAGCUCCCCCCGAGCUUCCCCCGAGCUUCCCCCCGGAUUUCCCCCAGCCUUCCCCGAGUUUCCCCCGAGCUUCUCCCGAGUUUCCCCCGAGCUUCCCCCGAGCUUCUCCCGAGCUUCUCCCGAGCUUCCCCCGAGUUUUCCCCUGCCCCGGCUUUGAUUUCUUUCCCCCUUCGCUGCCAUUUAGGCUGAGGCGGGCGCUGCCUGCGCGGUGUCUGCGGGACCCCCGGGAUUGGCACGGCCGGGACCGGCACAGCCGGGACCCCCGGAGCUGGCACCGCCGGGACCCCCGGGACUGGCACGGCCACAUCCUCGAGGCUGGCACGGCCGGAUUCUCGGGGCUGGCACGGUGGGACCCUCGGAGCGGCACGGGUGGGACCCCCGGGGCUGGCACCGUGGGACCCCCAGGUCUGGCACAGUGGAUUUGGAGCGACCCCGCAGCCCCUCUCCUGCUCCGGACUCGGGCAGGAAAACGUCCGGGGACAGAGAGAUGUGUGACAGGGACAUGUGUGACACAGGGAUGUGUGACACAGGGAUGUGUGACCCGGCGGUGCCGCUCCCCAAAACUCGGCACGGUUGAUCCGUGAGGUCUCCUCGGAGCAUCAGCGCUAACCGGGACCUCAGAGCAUCCCUGGCCCCCAAAUCUCCCAGUGGGCACUCAGCCGCCCCCGGUGCCCGGGGAUGCUGCCGUGGCUGUCCCCGCGCUGGUCCCGUCCCCUUCCCAGGGGAGCCGCGGACAUCCAUCAGCUUGAUCGAUGGGGGUUACUCGCUCCUGUUCUCCCCGCCAGUUUAUUUUCUUAAACUACCGGGCAAAAAGCGUAAUGACGGAGCAGACAAACACCCUAACAAACAGACGACAGCUUUAUGGAUGGAGCCGCGCUCCGAGGGCUGAGCGGCGUUAAAAUCCGGGCUCCGCCGCCUUCAGCCAUCCUCGCUCCAGCUCGGGUCACUUCAGCCUCUUAAAACACAAAAACGAAAAUAAAACAAAAAACAAAACAAAACAAAACAAAAUCCAGCCUCGCCUGAGUUUUAGAGGAGGAGACAGGGAUUUAUU
rnacentral:lncRNA from 1 species